AUUUGGUGAAUAUCUUGGCUUGGGCACCGAUGAAGAGCGUGACAAGCUGCGAUAAGCUCGGGUUAGUCGCAUGAAGACGCUGACCCCGAGAUUCUCGAAUAGGACAUCCGCUUGCGGCUUAAUAAUCCGCAAGAUUCCCGUCAGGGAAGGGGAACCCUGGGAAGUAAAACAUUUUAGUACCAGGAGGAAAAGAAAACAAUAGUGAUUCCGUAAGUAACGGCGAGCGAAAGCGGAACAGAUCAAACCGAAUCCCAAGGGAAACCUAUGGGAAAUGUGGUGUAUGGGCCUUGUACGGCCUCUCUAGAGAAGAUGAAUACCUCUGGAAUGCUGAGCCAUAGAGCGUGACAGCCGCGUAAUCGUAAUCUAGAUGGCUGCUGCAAGAGUCCCUGAGUAGUGCGGGAUGGUUUUCUCGUACGAAUGUGCCAGAUACACGCUGGCAAAUCUAAAUAUGUCCCAAGACCGAUAGCGUAGUAGUAGUGUGAACAAAAGAUGAAAAGUAACCCGGAAGGGCUGUGAAAAGUGCUUGAAACCAAAUAGCUUAUUAAGGAUGCGGCCUGAAAGGACAGAUUCUGCAUGAAUGAGUUCUGGUGACAGAAUAUCAGAAUACAGAGGACUAGGGUCGCAUCAUCAGUCUGGAAUCAUUGGCCAGGGAGUUUAUAGUAGUGGCAAGCUUAAGCGUCUUGCGGCGCGUAGGCAUAGGGAAACCGAUAUUCUUGCAACCUAAUUAUCACAUUAGGAAGACCUACUCGUUAACGAGUGGUUAUGCCAUUCUAACAACGUUUAGCUAAUCCUUCUAAGGAAUUAGGCCAGGAGAAUGGUCUCAAAGGGCCAAAAGUCUCUGCUAUAAUACCCGAAGCCGGUCGAUCUAUUCCUGGUCAAGAUGAAGUCGUUCGAAAGGGCGAUGGAGGUCUGCACCAGUGCUGACGUGCAAUUCGCUUGGAUGAACUGGGAAUAGGAGCAAAAGGCUAAUCUAGAUCGGUGAUAGCUGGUUCUCCCCGAAGUUGGUAUCAGCCAAGUCUCAGACGAGGCAGCCAGUGGCGUAGAGCACUAAUUGCGUGGUAUGGGGAAGAAAUUCCUCUCCCCGCUCUUAAACUCCGAAACUGCUGGCACUGCAGACUCUGGGAAACGGGUUGGUGGGCGUAAAGUCCAUCGCCGAGAAGGGAACAACCUAGACUUGGGUUAAGGUCCCUAAGUGCAGGUUAAGUGUUAAACAGAAGGGCGUUAUAUUUCUAAAACAGCAAAAGGAUAGGUAUAGAAGUAGCCAUUCCCUAACGAGUGUGUAACAACUCAUUUGCCGAGAAAUAUAGCCCCGAAAAUGGACGGGGCUUAAAUCUGCCACCGAGACCCAAGGGCACGGGCGGAAGAACCCCGUGAUCCGGUAGGGGAGCGUCCGGGUAGAGUAGAAGCAGGUGCGUGAGUUCCUGUGGAUCUGCCCGGAGUGAACAUCCUGGUAAUAGUAAAAGCAUAGAUGGGUUAGAAUCCCAUCCGCCGAAAGGGCAAGGGUUUCUUUGCAAUGCGUCGUCAGCGAAGAGUUAGUCGAUCCUAAGCGUACCCUUAACUGGUAUGCGCGAAAGGGAAACAGGUUUAUAUUCCUGUACCACGGCACUACGAAUAGCGGUGACGCACGACUUUAUGCUGACGGUUCAGGGUAGGUGGAAUAGGGCCGUCGAAUAUCUCCCUAUUUAAAUGCAUAAAGCUGGUGAAUAGUGUAAAACUUAGACCCAGCUUAAACCAUGAAUAGCCAUCCAAUUGUGGAAGGUUCCGCCGAGCCCAGGACCUAUUAAAAAGGCAAAAGUAAGAAAUGCCGUGAUCGUACCCAGAACCGACACAGGUGCCCCUAGGUGAGUAGCCUAAGGCGUAUUCGUGUAAAGGAGGCUAGGGAAAUCGACAAAUUAGAGCCGUAACUUUGGGAGAAGGCUUGCUUGCGAACUUCUUCACGCAGCUUCGGCAGUGUGAAGGGGCUCACAAGUUGCAAUAACUAGGGGGGGACGACUGUUUAAUAAAAACAUAGGUCACUGAUAGAGUGAAAACUUGUUUACAGUGGCUGAAACCUGGCCAGUGGCAGUCUGAUAAAUCCGGGUUACAACCCGAGUAAGUCCUGCUAAACGCCGGGAGUAACUAUAACUCUCUUAACGAUACGUCGUCUCGACCUCUCGAGAGUAAGGUAGCCAAAUGCCUUGUCUGGUAAGUUCAGACGUGCAUGAAUGGUCCAACGUUCUCCCCAUUGUCCCAGCCUUCUGACGAUUGAAAUUACACUCCGGCGAACGGUCCGGAGAAACCCAGUGGGACGAGAAGACCCCGUGGAGUUUUACUGCAGCCUGUUGUUGUGGUCCUGGAUUGGAUACAGAGUGUAGUCGGGAGCGUAGAUGCCGCGAUUUCGGUCACGGCGGAGCAUCAUUGGAACACCGGCUUUCCCCUCUGGUAUCACUAACGAUGCAAAUCGCAUCGAACACCCGCAGGUGGGCAGUUUGGCUGGGGCGGCUCACUCUAGAAACAAUAUCUAGAGUAACCAAUGAUCAGCUCAGGCGGGUCAGGAAUCCGCUGAAGAGUUUAAGAGCAAAAGCUGGUCUGACUGGAUUCUGAUCACCAAGGAAUCCUGAGGCUAACGCCUGGUCUAGCGAUCCUUAACUGAGCUCGUGUGGCUGGUUAAGGUGAUAGAAAAAUUACCCCGGGGGUAACAGAGUUGUCACGAGUAAGAGUUCCUAUCGACCUCGUGGCUUGCUUCCUCGAUGUCGGCUCUUCCUAUCCUGGGAGCGCACAUACGCAGUUCCGCAGAGGAGCUGUGGCGCAUAACUCCCAAGGGUGGGGCUGUACGCCCAUUAAAAGGGAACGUGAGCUGGGUUUAGACCGUCGUGAGAUGGAGUAAGGAUAAAUCUAAUGUAAAUUAGAACACUGAAGAAAUGCAUCAAUGAGAGUAAACCAAAAGUAGUGAAUCCCUUUCUAGAUGUGAAAUUAAAGCAGUGUAAUCUUACUCUACACGAAACAGGUCGGAUUCUAUCUACUGGGUUUGUAGGUUGACUGAGGGUAAGGGAAAAUCAGUACGAGAGGAACAUUUUGCCGGCGCCUCUAGUGUACCGGUUAUCUGACAAGGUAUUGCCGGGCAGCCACGCGCCAACGGAUAAGUGCUGAAAGCAUCUAAGCACGAAGUCGGACCCGAAAAUAGUCAGCCAAUCUCGUAUAGCGAGU
rnacentral:rRNA from 1 species